UACAGAGGUCUCAAGCGUUGUUCGGAUUCAUUGGGCGUAAAGGGUGCGUAGGUGGCGUCGUAAGUCGGGUGUGAAAUUUCGGAGCUUAACUCCGAAACUGCAUUCGAUACUGCGGUGCUUGAGGACUGGAGAGGAGACUGGAAUUUACGGUGUAGCAGUGAAAUGCGUAGAGAUCGUAAGGAAGACCAGUGGCGAAGGCGGGUCUCUGGACAAGUUCCUGACACUGAGGCACGAAGGCCCAGGGGGAGCAAAA
rnacentral:rRNA from 1 species